GAUGAACGCUAGCUACAGGCUUAACACAUGCAAGUCGCGGGGCAGCAUGGGGGUUGCUUGCAACCCCUGAUGGCGACCGGCGCACGGGUGAGUAACGCGUAUCCAACCUGCCCUUCACCACGGGAUAACCCGGCGAAAGUCGGACUAAUACCGUAUGUUGUCCAUUGACGGCAUCCGAUUGGGGCGAAAGGCGUGGCGGUGAAAGGAUGGGGCUGCGUCCGAUUGGCUUGACGGCGGGGUAACGGCGCACCGUGGCUACGAUCGGUAGGGGUUCUGAGAGGAAGGUCCCCCACACUGGAACUGAGACACGGUCCAGACUCCUACGGGAGGCAGCAGUGAGGAAUAUUGGUCAAUGGGCGUAAGCCUGAACCAGCCAAGUAGCGUGCAGGAUGACGGCCCUAUGGGUUGUAAACUGCUUUUAUGCGGGGAUAAAGUGGCCCACGUGUGGGCUUUUGCAGGUACCGCAUGAAUAAGGACCGGCUAAUUCCGUG
rnacentral:rRNA from 1 species